UCAGCUCCAAUAUACUAUACGCCAGCUGAUCCCAUUUCAAGAGUAUCAAUUUUCUGUUCGUGCCAAUUUUGUGGAUGGGAGUAGGAGUGAGUCUAUUUCCAUCAACGUUAGCACACUGGAGGAUGAUCCAGGAUCUCCACCUGCUAUGUUGAUGGUUUCACCCACGGCAACCACCCUCACCCUCUCCUGGGAUCCAUCAGCUGAACCUAAUGGAGUCAUCAUCACCUACACACUGUAUGUGGACUACCUCAAUGGAAUCACAACAAACUUCCCUACUCCAUCUGCACCAUUCCUAUUAUCUCCCCUGAGGCCCUAGCAAACUGUAUCAGUGCAAGUAUCAGCGCAAGUAUCAGCCAGUAUUUCAGUUGGUGAGGGACCAAGAACACUCAGUAUGGAGUUCACUACAGCUGAGGCCAAGUCUGGCACAGUUGGUAGUCUGAGAGUCUUAAGAGUGAAGGAAACCACCUUCACUGUCAACUGGGUUGCACCUGCCGAGGUCAAUGGAGUGUUACUAACAUACACUAUCAGGACCAAUGAGGAAGAAAGCAGCUCAGCAGAUACAGAGUACAAUACUGUAGCUACCUCGUUCUCUAUCCAUGAAUUAGUCCCCUAUACUCCCUAUGUGGUAUCAGUGGCUGCCAUCAAUGGCGCUAGUGCUGGAGAGCCUGUCAGUGUUGUAGAAUUCUAUACCAUUACUGUAUCUAGGGAAGACGUCAGCUCUGCUAUAAUUAUUAAUCUCGACCCAAACUCUGAGUACUGUCAGCUGGUACAGUACAGGGAGUGGGCAAUGUCAGUGUUGCCAUGGUUAUAUCCACUCAGUCAUCAUGCAGGCAAGCAUAAUUAUUAUGCAUGUAUAGUCAACCUUUCGCUUAAUACAUUUUUUCACAGGAAUGGUGGGAGUGAUUGCUGGGGCUACUGCAGGACUGAUAGUUGCCGUGAUUCUACU